UCAAAAACAAAAAGAAGAAUGAAAACUACAGCAUGAUAACUGGAAAGAAAAUUAAGAUGAAAAUAAAGAAGACUAAGCAGGAUAAAGAGAGAGACCGGAACCGUGCAGAGCUGCUUGAAUUUCUGAACUCUGCCUUAUAAUGGGAAGAGUGUGACCAAGGACUUGUAAAUACGCCAAGCUGGUGAUGAUCAUGCCUAGCAAAAAAGCUAAAGAAAACUCAGGGAAAAGGAUGCCGAGUUUGACAAGACCAGACUCCUGCUGAGACAAUCAGGAUAUCCUUUUUUUAAUGGCAAAAUGAAGAUCAAACGAUAACUUGUUAAUGAAGAUCUAUGUCCUUUUGAGAUGCUAAGGUAACAGCCAGGCUGUGGUGUUUUAGAAGAUCCUAAGAGUGUGUCAUUGGCAAUGACAUGUAUUGACACACUGAGGUCCAAUUCUAUCCUAACUGCAUGCAGAACACGCUUUUAAUUUCAAAUGUCUUAAAGUUUCCAGUAGCUUAAACAAAGCGGAUUAUUUGUAACUGUCUGUUGAAAGAUGAGGCAUUUCUAUGUGUAUAUUUUUUCCAGUAGUGGUUUUACUCGUCCUAAAGAGCAGGUUGACCUUUGUAAAUAGAACAUCCUUUUACAUAAACGCUUUUUUGACAGCUCAUUCAUUAAUAUAUUAUUUUAUUUCAGA